rnacentral:rRNA from 1 species
CCUACGGGAGGCAGCAGUGAGGAAUAUUGGUCAAUGGACGAGAGUCUGAACCAGCCAAGUAGCGUGAAGGAUGACUGCUCUAGGGGUUGUAAAUCUCUUUUAUAUGGGAAUAAAUUGUUCCACGUGUGGGAUUAUGUAUGUACCAUAUGAUUCAGGAUGGGGUAACUCUGUGCCAGCAGCCGGGGUAAUACGGAGGAUCCGAGCGUUACGCGGAUUUACUGGGGUUAACGGGAGCGUAGGUGGAUUAUUAAGACAGAUGUGAAAUCUUGCGGCUCAACCGUAGAAUUGCAGUUGAAACUGGCAGUCUAGAGUAUGGGAGAGGUAGGCGGAAUUCGUGGUGUAGCGGUAAAAUGCGUAGAGAUCACGAAGAACACUGAUUGCGAAGGCAACCCGCUGGACCGCAACUGACACUGAGGCGCGAAAGUGUGGGGAGCAAACAGGAUUAGAUACCCGUGUAGUC